ACCUUUCAUUCUCAUCUAGAGAGAGGACCUAGAACGGAAAACACGAAAUGGGUACGAAGAAAUGCGAAAUAAUAUUCUUAAUUUUUCAUUUUAUGUAAAACCCACAAUUUAUUUCAAAUGAAUUGACCUUCUUUGAUGUGAGUUUUUAUAGCUCGUAUUAAAGUGCACGAGUUGAGGCAGAAGAACGAGGCGGAUCUGUUGGCGCAGCUAAGGGAUUUGAAGGCGGAAUUAGCAUUGUUUAGAGUAGCCAAAGCCAUUGUUGGGCAGCCAACAAGCUGUCGAAGAUUAAGGUGGUUAGGCUCUCCAUUGUUCAGGUGUUGACUGUGAAUUCUCAGAAGCUGAAGGCGGCUCUAAGGGAAGCGUACAAGAACAAGAAGAAAUUACAAGUAAAGGACAUAUAUGAAAGAGAUGAGCUAUAUCAGUUGAGAAGUAGAGACAGAGGAGUGAAGACAAAUUCAGAAAAGAGCUUAGGAAUUGUGACACCUAACCAUGAAGAAGAAAAAAAGAACCAUGGAAGUGGAGGUCAGAAUCAGAGGAAAAAGAGAAGCAGAUUCAGCAAUGAUGGAGGUAAAAAAGAGGGGCAGACAUAGAAAAAGAGGAGAGGAGAAGAAAUUCCAGACCUUGAAGAAAAAGGAUAGAGAGAUAAAGAGAAAGCUGAAAACAAGAUGAGAUAUAGGGAUAUAGAGAGGAAAUAGCAAAAGAAGAGUAGAAACAGUAGAAGAAGAGGAGGAGGAGAAGAAGAAACAGGAGAAACGGACAAGAAGAGGCGGAAACCAGAGGAAGAGGAGACGGAUAGAGGAGAGUUAGCAGCAACAAGACUUGAUUCAAUUCAAUUCAUGCCCUUCAUCAUCUUCCAACAAAAUUAUAUAUAGAACAACCCUUAAAGUAAAGGACUUUGGGCUAGCCCACUAAUAACACAAGCCCAACUAGAUAAAAUAAAAGAUAAAUGGUCCACUUGAGUGAAGUUAGCCAUGACACCCAAGAAGACUCGUGCCAUUCGCAGGUGCCUCACCAAGCAUCAGUGUGUGUAGCAACAUAGCAGCUGAAUUGAAGUGAAUGAGUUUCUAUCUCCAAUAACUUUGUUACGUACUAUAAUCUAUAUUUGCUUGGUUUACUAUGAAGCAUCCUUCGGACUGAAAGGGAGAAAAAGAAAUUGAUGUACUUCCCUACGAGAAAAUACGCAAUCAAAGUUUAAGUUAUUUUGGUUUAUGCAAAAAUGGUUUCUUGUUUAUUUCGAGAUUUUGGGUUGUUGCGUAUCAUCAUAUGCUAAAAUUGAUUGGUGUUAGGUAAAUUUACUCCUUUUAAUUACUUUUGGUAUGGUUUGAUUUUGGUUUCAUACUUGUAGCCAAUGCACUUGUUGACACACUGAAAAUGCGGCCCAAAUCAAAUAGUCCAGAGAGUGAAGUCCAAUUGGGGAGUCCAGGAUAAAGAUCCAAACAGAAUUAUUGAUAAAUGCAGUGGAAGCCCACGACUACAGUGACAUCAUCGCCCAAGCUUAUAAAACGCUCAGAAUCUGAGCGAAUGGAAUGCCUUACGGUCGCCCAGAGCGAUGGCCUCGUUCUCUCCCAAACCUUCAAAUCGCUCAGGAUCUUAGCAAACAUAAAAUAUUAUGAUUAUCCAGAAUAGCAGUUAUUAAAGCAGUUAUUGAGUA